rnacentral:rRNA from 1 species
GACGAACGCUGGCGGCGUGCUUAACACAUGCAAGUCGAACGGUGAGGGGCCCAGCUUGCUGGUUCUGGAAGUGUCGCGCACGGGUGUGUCACACGUGUGUCACCCGCUUCCUUCUUGUGUAUAUCCGCAUGACAGUGUGGCUAAUCCGAUAUGUUCUCGGUCUGUCGCAUGGCGGGCGGGAGAAAUCUGUUGCUUCGGUUGGGGAUGGGCUUGCGGCUUUUGUGCUUGUUGGUGGGGUAGUGGCUUACUAUGGCGGUGACGGGUAGCGGGGCUGAGAGUGGGACCGGCAAAAGUGGGACUGAGAUACGGGCGAGACUCGUACGGGAGGCAGCAGUGGGGAAUCUUGCCCGAUGGGCGGAAGCCUGAUGAAGCAACGACGCGUGCGGGAUGUAGGCCUUCGGGUUGUAAACCGCUUUCGCCUGUGACGAAGCGUGAGUGACGGUAAUGGGUAAAGAAGCACCGGCUAACUACGUG